rnacentral:rRNA from 1 species
GACGAACGCUGGCGGCGUGCUUAACACAUGCAAGUCGUGCGGUAAGGCCCUUUCGGGGGUACACGAGCGGCGAACGGGUGAGUAACACGUGAGCAACCUGCCCUUCACUUUGGGAUAACUGCCGGAAAUGGUGGCUAAUACCGGAUAUGACUUCCUCACGCAUGUGGGGUGGUGGAAAGCCUUCGGGUGGUGGGGGAUGGGCUCGCGGUCUAUCAGCUUGUUGGUGGGGUGAUGGCCUACCAAGGCUUCGACGGGUAGCCGGCCUGAGAGGGUGACCGGCCACACUGGGCCUGAGACACGGCCCAGACUCCUACGGGGGGCAGCAGUGGGGAAUAUUGGACAAUGGGCGAAAGCCUGAUCCAGCAACGCCGCGUGAGGGAUGACGGCCUUCGGGUUGUAAACCUCUUUCGCCUGCGACGAAGCGAGAGUGACGGUAGCAGGUAAAGAAGCACCGGCCAACUACGUG